rnacentral:lncRNA from 1 species
CCAGUGCUCAGGAAUCUGCUCUUGUGAUGACUGCAGAGGCAGCUCCCGUGAGAUGGAGCUUUGGGGAAGGGAGGAGUGAAGAGCAGCAAUACACAGCCUCCUCCUUAUCCUCAGGGCACCUCAAAACUGUAUAGCACGGCACGUUGUGAGAGCCGUGAGAGUCUGUAAUGGUUAGCAGUACGCAGUGUGAUGCGCUGGAUCAAGGAAGGCUUCAUGUGGACAACUAAGGAAAUCAGAGCCUGGAGCUGCUGUGACCUGGCCUGCCUCCCCUAGACGAGUCUGGAUUCCCACCGACACCGGCACGCCCUCAGCCUCCAGCCCUCAUGCUGUUCCUGCAGCCCAGGCCUGGUUUUUAUACUGUCCCAGGCCGAGUCCCGGCUCUAGGACCCACUCGCUGGGUGGCACCUCGGCUCAGGCUUCCUCAUGAGCUCUCUCAGGUUACAGAGCCUGGCAAGUGCACUGUGCCCGUCAGACAAGAGGGGAAGCAAUCCCCCUGCUCAGCCCCUAAUGGCUUCCUCUCUCCAGACCUCUAAGACCCCACGCUGUUCACUGUGGUGGCUCAGUCUCUGCUGCCUACCUUGGUGGGAGGAGGCACCUGGGUCACCCAGUCCUGCUCUCUGUUCACUUAUGUUAGCCUGCCUGGGAAGCCAUCAUCUCUUCUCCAGUCUCUUCCCCCAAACCUAGAAUGGCCAUGUGACACACUGUCUGCUUAGGGGCCACAUACAGGCAGAAACCAGGUAGAGAGCUCUGACAAGAUGUCUGCUUUCCUGAUGAAGACAGUGCUUGUGGCAGCAGCUGCCACACCGGCACAAGUCAAAGACAAUAAAUAAAAACCGGGAUUGUCUUUGCUGCCACCACCGCAGGGUGCUAACCUCUGGUCUCUAAGUUCUGCACUGUCAGGAAAGCGCUCUGGACCUCGAGGACGCGCUGCUCACCUGGGCGUGCUUGAAGAUGUGCAUGAUGAAGAUGGUGAGACCCAGGCCGAAGAUGUAGGCGGCGAAGCUGGUGUAGAAGUAGGUGUGCGUGUUCUUCUUCAAGCUGCAGGGAAGGCGGAAGGAAGAGGUUAGACGAGUAACAUCCUUUCUGCAAAGACUGAAGCUGCAUAUGUGUGUGGGGAGAGUCUCUGCCAGGCGCCUGGACAGCUGUGCACCUUGGCCUUCCCUGAGCUAUGUCUCUUUAGAUAAGUUACCCUUCUUCCAUGCUUGGUUUAUACCUUUGCAAAAAGACGGGAAAGCCAUAGGCCAUUUAUAAAUACCAAAUGUAAAAAUCUAGAAAUGGCUCUAAGAGGUUUUUAUUGUUUGUUUGUUUGUUUUUCGAGCCAGGGUUUCUCUGUAUAGCCUGGCAGGCUCUAAGAGUUUUAGCCAGCACAAAAAUCUCUUGGGGGAAAAAAGGUGGCUCUAGGUUAUAGCCACAGAAUGUAAGUUUGAGGCGAGGCUCAGGGAGUCUGCAAGGGCCUGAGCUGGGUCCUGUGCAUGCUCUGAGCUCCAGGCCAGCCUUAUGCUUAGCUUCUGCGACAGUCUGAAAAGAGCCCGAGGAGGGAGACCUCAGGGAACAGCUAGACCUGAAUGCAGUGGCUCAAGUCCAGCCUGACAAAGACGGGCUGCAGCUGGCUUUCCCUACCACUGAGGUCAGCCUGUGCUCAGUGCUCUGCCCGACUUGGCACAGCAGACCCGAGAGGGAACUCUUGUUUACCACCAUGGAUAUGAGAUUGAGGUUUACAAGGUCAGACUGGCCGCCAAGGGCACAGAGCUACAAAUACCAAUCUCAGAUAAAAGGAAUUUUCUUUU